CCAGCGGUUCCAACUUAAGCCGGUUGUCUAAUCGCCUUGAAUUUGAGUUUGUGCACCUGUAGCUGCAGAACAGGGGUGGUGCUGACCCCUUCAGGUUGUUCCCGGAGUAAAUGCGCCGCCUCAGGAAAAGUGUACGCUGGGAGGAAGAAGCGCCAGAGUCCACCCAAGGGAGCGGCGCAGGGAGUGGGGGAAGAAGCAGAUGAGCAAGGAAAGUGGGAUCAGAUUUUUGCAGAGGGAGUGACUUUUUGCUUGGCUGAAGAAAGGCAAGGAAGAGGUCCCUGUCACAAGGUGCUUGACGGUGGGAAAAGCCUGCGAGCCUGGAGAACAGCCCGUCUAAGGGCCAGGAGGUGGAAAGGGCUUGUUUGGGGAUUCCCCCCCACCCCCACCUCCGGCGCUGGCACAACCUGAGGUCCUGCCAGGCCUCCGCCAUCAGUCACCCACUACCAGCCAGGCCUGGUAGUCUGCGACCCUGAGUCUGCGACCCUGGUGGGCAGGUGACACUGACCACCCCUUCCUCCGGACUCAAUCAGAACACAGCCGGUGGCAUCCAAGAGGUGCCAAGUGGGGACCCGGCGCCUGCCCAGGUUCUGCAAGAGCGUGGGCCUCGUGGAGGCAGGGAGGAAGCACGUGUGUGUCUCAGUACAGGGACUCGCUCGGAAAAGUCUUUGAGAACUGGUGACACACGUAUUUGAAAGAUGGAGACACUCUUUUUAGUGGAAUAUUUGUACCUCCUCCCCCCGCCCCGCCCAACUCCUGCGAUCUACUCUCCGUAAGUAUACAGUGAAAAGCCUUCACCCCAGAAGAACAUCAGACAAGUCCCCUAACUGAGGAACCAUCUAUAAAGUAUCUGACCAGUUCUCAAAACUGUCAAGGCCACCAAAAACAAGGCAAGACUGAGAAACUGCCACAGCCAGGAGGAGCCUAAGGAGACAUGACCAUUAAAUGUGAUGUGGGAGCCUGCAUGGGAUCCUGGAACAGAAAAAGGACAUUUGGGGAAAACUAAGGAAAUCCGAGGCAAGAUGGACUUCAGGCAAUAAUAUAUCAAUGCUGGUUCAUUAACUGUAACCAAAGUACCACACUAACCCUGGAAAGACCCUCAUUCCUGUGGCCAGUUCCCUGUUCAUGGACUUGGGCUCUGCGAUGUCUUGCAGUCCUAACAACGACUUGAGGACAAACCGAGGGCAUAACCCUGGCAAACAGUGGACUUCGAAUCUCUACCUCGCUGUCCUUGAAGUUGGCCCGCCAGCAAACUGCCUGAGUUUUUGAAGCACUUCAAACUUCCAACCGUCAGUGCAUGCCCCCAAAGCCCUUCUGCACGCCGGUCGUCGGCUGGAGUUCAUUCUUAAUUUACGUUUCUUAAGGUGACCAGCCUCCUACGUGGCCAAAAGAUGAGGUGUUCGGCAUCUGUUACGAGCCUGGGCCGUGAGCCUCUGGCGAAGAUUUCUCACUCUCUCCAUAAGAUCCUGUUCCAUGGUGUCCCAUUGUACUCUUCUUUGAUUUAAAGAAACUUGAAAACAAAAUUUUAAGGUUGGCAAACAGGAUGUGGCCCGAUUCCUGAGCCUGGCACUGAUGGUCCCUGUCUUCUUCAGUGGUCUCGAUAACUACUCUGCUCCAGCCGGUCUAACUUCUGUCACCACCACGGGCAACUUUCUCCCAUGGAUUCAUUGCAUCCAACAUGUUCUAUCAUGUAUGAGUGGAGUUCAUGGAGGCUUUGGUUGGUGAAUCCACAAAAAUUAUAAGGGAAGAAACUCUGUGUGUGUGUGCGCAUGUUCCUGGGAAGAUUCUCAGAGGGGCCUACGGUCCGUACAUGGUUUUGCCAUAGACAAUGGUGUACCGCCAUGCUAGAAAGCCGUAACAAAAUGGAAGAUCACCCGGGCUCUAUGUUCUCAUUUUACAAAUGAGCAAAGUGAAGACCAGUCAACAUUUCUGAACAAAUCCAAAUGAAGAAACACAAGUGGCUAAAUAAACUGCCCCGAGGUCUACAGCUUAGUGACUCCGGCCAAGUUUCACGGACCAUAAAGCUGGGACUAGGACCCGGUGCGCCUGUUGCCCGGGCCGGGGUCUUGCGCCACGUGGUGAAACCCUCCCUCUGAGUGUGUUCCUGUGGCACCAGGCCUGUCCUCUUUUUAAAGGCCCAGUAAUUUAAAACCUGGUCAAACGGCCCCACCUGUUACCACCUGGGAACAGCACUUACUAACGUCUUUUUUUAAAAUAACGGUUCACUGACAUAUAAUCCACAUACCAGAAAAUUGAUCCUGGUGAAGUGUACGAUUCAGCGUUCUUAGUAUAUUCCCAGAGUUGUACAACCAUUAGUUGUACAACCAUCACCACUAAUCUAGAACAUUUUCAUCAUCCCAACUCCUCGCAGCCAUUUGUGGUCACCCUCCCGAUCCCCCUGAAACCACCAAUCGACUUUCUGCCUCUAUGGAUCUGCCUGUUCUAAACAUUUCACAUGAAUAAAAUCAUAGGCUAUGUGUACUUUCGUGUCUGGCUCCUUAAACUUAGCAUAAGGUUUUUAAGGUUCACCCACAUUUUUAUUGCUAUGGAAGUUUCCAUCGUAUGGAUAUACUAUAUUCUGUUGGCCGAUUCCUGGUCUGAUGGAUAUCCAGGUUGUUUAUACUUUUUGGCUAUUAUGAAUAACGAUGCUAUGCACAUUCACGUACAGGUUUUUGUGUGGACGUGUUUCCGAAUCUCCCGGGCACAUGCCUACGAAUGGAACUGCCAGAUCACACAGCUACCCUACACUUAGCCCUCCGAGAAGCUGCCAGACUGUCUCCCAAAGUACACCACGUUACAUCUCCUCUAGCACUGUUCCAAUUGUUCUCUGACCCUCGUCAGCACGUGUUAUUAUUGUCUAAUUACGGUCAUGCUAGUGGGUGUGAAAUAGUAUCUGUGUUUUUGUAUUUAAAAAAUGUUUUCCUCAUGUGGUUUUGGUUUGUAUUUCCCUGAUGAGUAAUGAAGUUAAACAGCUUUUCAUGUGUAUUGUGGUCAUGUGUAUCUUCUUUGGAGAACUGUAAAUUCGUAUCUUUUGCCCGUUUAAAACUCUGGACUAAAAAAAAAUAAAAAUAAAAAAAUAAAACUC